AAAUCGUACCAUUUACGUUGUCGUGUUCUGCUGGUUUGCACUCGUCCAGCAGUGUUUAAUGAGAAACGUAUUGAGUGAUGUACGCACACAGACAUACAAAAGAUGAUAUGGGUUAAUCUGCAUGGCUGCGUUUUACAAUCCCACAGAAACACAUGUCGGGAUAUACACAGGAGAUCUGUCAAAGGCUGGUGAAUCUCAGCGUGUAUCUGCAUGCACUCCAGGUGAGUAGAGCUACUUCAGUAACCACAGGGAUUACCGUAGUCUAGUGCAGUAUAUCUCACAAAAUAACCCUGUGGCUUCAAAAGGUAAAUAGUAAAUAAACAGAGGAAUAACAUGUAUUUAGAUGUUAUAUUAAAAUCAAAGUUGCGUUUCCCAAAUUCUACUGACUUCAAGUAAAAUAAAGAGCAGGUCACAAAUACAACAACUGACAAUUUACUACAUAAUACGCUGAUAUACUGUACAUAAGUAACCUAUGUCGCUCACCUACGCUAACACAGAGUUAGCAUCAUAAUCUAGGACAUAAAAAGAGUUUGACUUACAUCUGGGAGACAAAAUGAAGGGCAAAAAGUUCCGCAAAAAAA